rnacentral:rRNA from 1 species
GAUGAACGCUGGCGGCGUGCCUAACACAUGCAAGUCGAGCGAAGUUUAGAGGAAGUGCUUGCACGGAAUCGAAGACUUAGCGGCGGACGGGUGAGUAACGCGUGAGCAACCUACCUUUCACAGGGGAAUAACAACGGGAAACCCGUUGCUAAUACCGCAUGAUAUUAAGAGAAGACAUCUUCUUUUAAUCAAAGGAGCAAUCCGGUGAAAGAUGGGCUCGCGUCCGAUUAGCUAGUUGGUAAGGUAAAGGCUUACCAAGGCAACGAUCGGUAGCCGAACUGAGAGGUUGACCGGCCACAUUGGGACUGGGACACGGCCCAGACUCCUACGGGAGGCAGCAGUGGGGAAUAUUGGGCAAUGGGCGAAAGCCUGACCCAGCAACGCCGCGUGAAGGAUGAAGGCCUUAGGGUUGUAAACUUCUUUGAUCAGGGAAGAAAAAAAUGACGGUACCUGAAGAACAAGCCACGGCUAACUACGUGCCAGCAGCCGCGGUAAUACGUAGGUGGCAAGCGUUAUCCGGAUUUACUGGGUGUAAAGGGCGUGCAGGCGGGUUUGUAAGUCAGAUGUGAAAUCUCCAGGCUUAACUUGGAAACUGCAUCUGAAACUACAAAUCUUGAGUACUGGAGAGGAUAGUGGAAUUCCUAGUGUAGCGGUAAAAUGCGUAGAUAUUAGGAGGAACACCAGUGGCGAAGGCGGCUAUCUGGACAGUAACUGACGCUGAGGCGCGAAAGCGUGGGUAGCAAACAGG